AGAGUUUGAUUCUGGCUCAGAACGAACGCUGGCGGCGUGGAUAAGACAUGCAAGUCGAACGAUUUCAGUAGCAAUACUGGGGGAGUGGCGAACGGGUGAGUAACGCGUGAGCAAUCUACCGAAAAGUUGGGGAUAGCCUUCCGAAAGGAAGAUUAAUACCGAAUGUGGCCAAGGGUGACAUCGCCCUGCAGCUAAAGCAGCAAUGCGCUUUUUGAGGAGCUCGCGACCUAUCAGCUUGUUGGCGGGGUAACGGCCCACCAAGGCUUCGACGGGUAGCUGGUCUGAGAGGAUGAUCAGCCACACUGGAACUGAGACACGGUCCAGACACCUACGGGUGGCAGCAGUCGAGAAUCAUUCGCAAUGGGGGAAACCCUGACGGUGCGACGCCGCGUGGAGGAAGAAGGCCCUCGGGUUGUAAACUCCUGUCAAGAGAGAGUAACGCUAUGUAAAUAGCUUGAGAGUAUCUCUAGAGGAAGGGGCGGCUAACUCCGUGCCAGCAGCCGCGGUAAUACGGAGGCCCCAAGCGUUGUUCGGAUUUAUUGGGCGUAAAGGGUGCGUAGGCGGCAUCUUAAGUCUGGUGUGAAAGGCGCGGGCUCAACCUGCGGACUGCAUUGGAUACUGGGAUGCUAGAGGACUGGAGAGGAGAAUGGAAUUCUCGGUGGAGCAGUGAAAUGCGUAGAUAUCGUGAGGAAGGCCAGUGGCGAAGGCGAUUCUCUGGACAGUACCUGACGCUGAGGCACGAAGGCUGGGGGAGCGAAAAGGAUUAGAUACCCUGGUAGUCCCAGCAGUAAACGGUGUGCGCUUGAUGUGGGGGGAAUCGACCCCUUCCGUGUCGAAGCUAACGCGAUAAGCGCACCGCCUGGGGAGUACGACCACAAGGUUAGAACUCAAAGAAAUUGACGGGGACCCGCACAAGCGGUGGAGUAUGUGGCUUAAUUCGAUGCAACGCGAAGAACCUUACCUAGCCUUGACAUGUAUCACUAAGUCGGUGAAAGCCGGUGAGCCAGGGGAAACCCUGGUAUUUUACACAGGUGCUGCAUGGCUGUCGUCAGCUCGUGUCGUGAGAUGUUGGGUUAAGUCCCGCAACGAGCGCAACCCCUGUGGCCAGUUGCCAACGCCGUAAGGCGCGCACUCUGUCCAGACUGCCCUGUGAAACGGGGAGGAAGGUGGGGACGACGUCAAGUCCGUAUGGCCCUUAUGGCUAGGGCUGCACACGUACUACAAUGCCCGGUACAGAAUGAACCGAUACCGCGAGGUGGAGGAAAUCAACUAAAGCCGGGCCCAGUUCGGAUUGGAGGCUGCAACUCGCCUCCAUGAAGCCGGAAUCGCUAGUAAUGGCGCAUCAGCUACGGCGCCGUGAAUACGUUCCCGGGUCUUGUACACACCGCCCGUCACAUCAUGGAAGUCGCUUGUAGCCGAAGUGCGUAAGCUAACCAGCAAUGGAGGCAGCGCCCUAAGCUAUGAGUGGUAACUGGGAUGUAGUCGUAACAAGGUAGCCGUAGGGGAACCUGCGGCUG
rnacentral:rRNA from 1 species